rnacentral:rRNA from 1 species
CACUGCGCCGAAAAUGUACCGGGGCUAAACAUAUUACCGAAGCUGUGGAUUGUCCUUUGGACAAUGGUAGGAGAGCGUUCUAAGGGCGUUGAAGCAUGAUCGUAAGGACAUGUGGAGCGCUUAGAAGUGAGAAUGCCGGUGUGAGUAGCGAAAGACGGGUGAGAAUCCCGUCCACCGAUUGACUAAGGUUUCCAGAGGAAGGCUCGUCCGCUCUGGGUUAGUCGGGUCCUAAGCUGAGGCCGACAGGCGUAGGCGAUGGAUAACAGGUUGAUAUUCCUGUACCACCUAUAAUCGUUUUAAUCGAUGGGGGGACGCAGUAGGAUAGGCGAAGCGUGCGAUUGGAUUGCACGUCUAAGCAGUAAGGCUGAGUAUUAGGCAAAUCCGGUACUCAUUAAGGCUGAGCUGUGAUGGGGAGAAGACAUUGUGUCUUCGAGUCGUUGAUUUCACACUGCCGAGAAAAGCCUCUAGAUAGAAAAUAGGUGCCCGUACCGCAAACCGACACAGGUAGUCAAGAUGAGAAUUCUAAGGUGAGCGAGCGAACUCUCGUUAAGGAACUCGGCAAAAUGACCCCGUAACUUCGGGAGAAGGGGUGCUCUUUAGGGUUAACGCCCAGAAGAGCCGCAGUGAAUAGGCCCAAGCGACUGUUUAUCAAAAACACAGGUCUCUGCUAAACCGUAAGGUGAUGUAUAGGGGCUGACGCCUGCCCGGUGCUGGAAGGUUAAGAGGAGUGGUUAGCUUCUGCGAAGCUACGAAUCGAAGCCCCAGUAAACGGCGGCCGUAACUAUAACGGUCCUAAGGUAGCGAAAUUCCUUGUCGGGUAAGUUCCGACCCGCACGAAAGGCGUAACGAUUUGGGCACUGUCUCAACGAGAGACUCGGUGAAAUCAUAGUACCUGUGAAGAUGCAGGUUACCCGCGACAGGACGGAAAGACCCCGUGGAGCUUUACUGUAGCCUGAUAUUGAAAUUCGGCACAGCUUGUACAGGAUAGGU